GGAGAGCUGACCGAGUGGCAAGGGUGCCGGCUUGCUAAGCCGUGGCCGGUGCUGAGAAGCGCCGCGCGCGUUCGAUCCGCGCGCUCUCCU
rnacentral:tRNA from 1 species